rnacentral:rRNA from 1 species
AACGAACGCUGGCGGCAUGCCUAACACAUGCCAGUCGAACGAGACCUUCGGGUCUAGUGGCGCACGGGUGCGUAACGCGUGGGAACCUGCCCUUAGGUUCGGAAUAACUCCCCGAAAGGGGUGCUAAUACCGGAUAAUGUCUUCGGACCAAAGAUUUAUCGCCUUUGGAUGGGCCCGCGUUGGAUUAGCUAGUUGGUAGGGUAAAAGCCUACCAAGGCGACGAUCCAUAGCUGGUCUGAGAGGAUGAUCAGCCACACUGGGACUGAGACACGGCCCAGACUCCUACGGGAGGCAGCAGUGGGGAAUAUUGGACAAUGGGCGAAAGCCUGAUCCAGCAAUGCCGCGUGAGUGAUGUAGGCCUUAGGGUUGUAAAGCUCUUUUACCCGGGAUGAUAAUGACAGUACCGGGAGAAUAAGCUCCGGCUAACUCCGUG